GAUGAAGAACGUAGCGAAAUGGGAUACGUAAUGUGAAUUGCAAAUUCAGUGAAUCAUCGAGUCUUUGAACGCACAUUGCGCCCCCUGGUAUUCCGGGGGGCAUGCCUGUCCGAGCGUCAUUGCUGCCCUCAAGCACGGCUUGUGUGUUGGGCCCCGUCCUCCGAUCCCGGGGGACGGGCCCGAAAGGCAGCGGCGGCACCGCGUCCGGUCCUCGAGCGUAUGGGGCUUUGUCACCCGCUCUGUAGGCCCGGCCGGCGCUUGCCGAUCAACCCAAAUUUUUAUCCAGGUUGACCUCGGAUCAGGUAGGGAUACCCGCUGAACUUAAGCAUAUCAAUAAGCGGAGGA
rnacentral:misc_RNA from 1 species